UACUCGUGUCCAUUAGUGUUGUGUCCACGUACUUCACCCUGAUUUAUGGCUUUUUGUAUGGGAAGGAAAAAUCCAUCCAGUGGGCUUUCUCUCUGGCCUUGUCGCUCUUCCAGAGCAUCUUCAUCCUGCAGCCUCUUAAGGUGAUUGGCUUGGCAAUCUUCUUUGCAUUCCUCCUCAAGCCAGUGGCAGUAGAAGAGAGUGAGGAUUUAGAACUGCUCCUGAAAGAACAACAGCAGAGGUGUAAAUUGUACUCUGGUAGGGAAAUACACUGAGGGAACCAAUUUAGCUUGACAUGCCGUCUCCAGAGGAUUGACAGGGUUGGAAUGCCAG